AGUGAACGCUGGCGGUAGGCCUAACACAUGCAAGUCGAACGGCAGCACAGUAAGAGCUUGCUCUUACGGGUGGCGAGUGGCGGACGGGUGAGGAAUACAUCGGAAUCUACUUUUUCGUGGGGGAUAACGUAGGGAAACUUACGCUAAUACCGCAUACGACCUACGGGUGAAAGCAGGGGAUCUUCGGACCUUGCGCGAUUGAAUGAGCCGAUGUCGGAUUAGCUAGUUGGCGGGAUAAAGGCCCACCAAGGCGACGAUCCGUAGCUGGUCUGAGAGGAUGAUCAGCCACACUGGAACUGAGACACGGUCCAGACUCCUACGGGAGGCAGCAGUGGGGAAUAUUGGACAGUGGGCGCAAGCCUGAUCCAGCCAUACCGCGUGGGUGAAGAAGGCCUUCGGGUUGUAAAGCCCUUUUGUUGGGAAAGAAAAGCAGCAGGUUAAUACCCCGCUGUUCCGACGGUACCCAAAGAAUAAGCACCGGCUAACUUCGUG
rnacentral:rRNA from 1 species